AGCGAACGCUGGCGGCAGGCCUAACACAUGCAAGUCGAGCGCCCAGCAAUGGGAGCGGCAGACGGGAUAGUAACACGUGGGAACGUACCUUUCAGUUCGGAACAACCCAGGGAAACUUGGGCUAAUACCGAAUACGUCCGUAAGGAGAAAGAUUUAUCGCUGAAAGAUCGGCCCGCCGUCUGAUUAGCUAGUUGGUGAGGUAAUGGCUCACCAAGGCGACGAUCAGUAGCUGGUCNGAGAGGAUGAUCAGCAU
rnacentral:rRNA from 1 species